AAGAGGAUUUUCUUUUAAUUUGGAAGACAGUUUGAUGUCUUUUUUCUCUUUUCAGGUAUAUGAGCUCUUUGAAAGCAGAUGCUGUUGUUUCCAUGUUCUGAUCCUUUAGAGAUUAUGAAGGCACAAUUCCUGCCUUUGAUUUGCUUAACUUAACAGUCAAGUGGAAUAGAGGCAGGCCAGUGGUUGCAGUACAGCCACUUAAGUGUGCUAAAAGAGAUUUAUCAGCAGGUUGCAGGGAAACAUGGCCUUGAGGUAAAUCCUGCCCCUUGUUGAAAUUUAGUUUUAGCAGAGUGUUCAUGGUAUUUUAAGGAAUUGCAAUAUUUUACCAAAAAAACAAAGUUUUGUUUUGCUUCUGUUCUAGACUUAUUUUUUCUUCUAAAAGAUGAGAAACAUGUUUAAACAAAGGUUCUUGAUGCUGAAUAAUUGUGAUGCAUCUACCUUGUUUAAAUUAAGUGGAUUUUAAAUGUCAAAGCUAAUUCUAGACAGUUUUUUCGUGGUCAAAUAAAAUUUUAUUAAAACCUUA